UACGGGGGGAGCAAGCGUUGUUCGGAUUUACUGGGCGUAAAGCGCGCGUAGGCGGACCUGCAAGUCGGGGGUGAAAGCCCGAGGCUCAACCUCGGAACUGCCUUCGAUACUGCGGGUCUCGAGUCCGGGAGAGGUGAGUGGAAUUCCUAGUGUAGAGGUGAAAUUCGUAGAUAUUCGCAAGAACACCAGUGGCGAAGGCGGCUUACUGGACCGGUUCUGACGCUGAGGCGCGAAAAGCGUGGGGAGCAAACAGG
rnacentral:rRNA from 1 species